rnacentral:misc_RNA from 1 species
AAGACUAUAGACCUGCGGAGUACCUGCGGAAGGAUCAUUAACGUAUCUAUGAUGGGGUGCGGAGCGCCCUGCUCCGGUCGAACGGCCGUGCAGUGGGGGCGCCGCCCCCGUCCCACCUCACAAACCCACUGUGAACAUUCACCGGUGGAGGGGGCUCGGUCUGCGCCGUGUCCCCGAUGCCGAAUACCCAAACUCCAGUUGCAAAGAACGUCGUGCGGACUCGGUGCCGCCUAAAACAUG